rnacentral:rRNA from 1 species
UUCAGGCCUAACACAUGCAAGUCGAACGAGAAAGGCCCCUUCGGGGGACGAGUAGAGUGGCGCACGGGUGAGUAACGCGUAGGUAAUCUACCCUUAUACCUGGGAUAACAUUGGGAAACUGGUGCUAAUACCGGAUACACUUCUUUACUGCGGGGUAAAGGAGGAAAGGUGACCUCUUGGUCAAAGUUACCGUAUAGGGAUGAGCCUGCGUACCAUUAGCUAGUAGGUGGGGUAACGGCCCACCUAGGCGACGAUGGUUAGCGGGUCUGAGAGGAUGAUCCGCCACACUGGAACUGGAACACGGACCAGACUCCUACGGGAGGCAGCAGUGAGGAAUAUUGCGCAAUGGGGGAAACCCUGACGCAGCGACGCCGCGUGAGUGAGGAAGGCCUUCGGGUCGUAAAGCUCUGUCAGAAGGGAAGAAGUGUUAUACGGUUAAUACCCGUAUAAUUUGACGGUACCUUCAGAGGAAGCACCGGCUAACUCCGUGCCAGCAGCCGCGGUAAUACGGAGGGUGCGAGCGUUGUUCGGAAUUACUGGGCGUAAAGGGCGCGUAGGCGGCUUUAUAAGUCAGAUGUGAAAGCCCACGGCUUAACUGUGGAAGUGCAUUUGAAACUGUGAAGCUUGAGUAUCGGAGGGGAGUGUGGAAUUCCCGGUGUAGAGGUGAAAUUCGUAGAGAUCGGGAGGAACACCGGUGGCGAAGGCGACACUCUGGACGAAUACUGACGCUGAGGCGCGAAAGCGUGGGGAGCAAACAGGAUUAGAUACCCUGGUAGUCCACGCCGUAAACGAUGUGAACUAGAGGUAGGAGGUGUUGAUCCCUUCUGUCUCGCAGCUAACGCAUUAAGUUCACCGCCUGGGGAGUACGGUCGCAAGAUUAAAACUCAAAGGAAUUGACGGGGGCCCGCACAAGCGGUGGAGUAUGUGGUUUAAUUCGACGCAACGCGAAGAACCUUACCUGGGCUUGACAUCCCGAGAAUCUUCUGGAAACAGGAGAGUGCGUCAUUAGAUGAACUUGGUGACAGGUGCUGCAUGGCUGUCGUCAGCUCGUGUCCGUGAGAUGUUGGGNUUAAGUCCCGCAACAAGCGCAACCCCUUGCCUUUAGUUGCCAGCAGUU